GUUAAGUUAGUUUAGCUAAAAUAUCAAUCUGUGGAAUUGAAGACAAAUUAUUUACUUAACUGUGAGC
rnacentral:tRNA from 1 species